GACAGAGGUGCCGAGCGUUAGGCGGAAUCACUGGGCUUAAAGCGUGUGUAGGCGGACCUGUAAGUACCUUGUGAAAUCCCACAGCUUAACUGUGGAACUGCUUGGUAUACUGCGGAUCUUGAGCCACUUAGGGGCUACCGGAACAAAUGGUGGAGCGGUGAAAUGCGUAGAUAUCAUUUGGAACGCCAAUGGUGAAAACAGGUAGCUGGGAGUGUGCUGACGCUGAGACACGAAAGCCAGGGGAGCGAACGGGAUUAGAAACCCCCGUAGUCC
rnacentral:rRNA from 1 species